rnacentral:rRNA from 1 species
GACGAACGCUGGCGGCGUGCUUAACACAUGCAAGUCGAACGGAAAGGCCUUUUCGGAGGUACUCGAGUGGCGAACGGGUGAGUAACACGUGGGUGAUCUGCCCUGCACUCUGGGAUAAGCCUGGGAAACUGGGUCUAAUACCGGAUAGGACCGCACUUUAGUGUGUGUGGUGGAAAGUUUUUUCGGUGUAGGAUGAGCCCGCGGCCUAUCAGCUUGUUGGUGGGGUAAUGGCCUACCAAGGCGGCGACGGGUAGCCGGACUGAGAGGUUGGUCGGCCACAUUGGGACUGAGAUACGGCCCAGACUCCUACGGGAGGCAGCAGUGGGGAAUAUUGCACAAUGGGCGCAAGCCUGAUGCAGCGACGCCGCGUGGGGGAUGACGGCCUUCGGGUUGUAAACUCCUUUCGCCAGGGACGAAGCGUUUUGUGACGGUACCUGGAGAAGAAGCACCGACUAACUACGUG